UGGGGAAUAUUGGACAAUGGGGGGAACCCUGAUCCAGCCAUGCCGCGUGUGUGAAGAAGGCCUUAUGGUUGUAAAGCACUUUAAGCGAGGAGGAGGGUACUGGUAUUAAUACUACCAGGUACUGGACGUUACUCGCAGAAUAAGCACCGGCUAACUCUGUGCCAGCAGCCGCGGUAAUACAGAGGGUGCGAGCGUUAAUCGGAUUUACUGGGCGUAAAGCGUGCGUAGGCGGCUUUUUAAGUCGGAUGUGAAAUCCCCGAGCUUAACUUGGGAAUUGCAUUCGAUACUGGGAAGCUAGAGUAUGGGAGAGGAUGGUAGAAUUCCAGGUGUAGCGGUGAAAUGCGUAGAGAUCUGGAGGAAUACCGAUGGCGAAGGCAGCCAUCUGGCCUAAUACUGACGCUGAGGUACGAAAGCAUGGGGAGCAAACAGG
rnacentral:rRNA from 1 species